rnacentral:rRNA from 1 species
CCUACGGGAGGCAGCAGUGGGGAAUAUUUCACAAUGGGGGAAACCCUGAUGCAGCGACGCCGCGUGAGUGAAGAAGUAUUUCGGUAUGUAAAGCUCUAUAAGCAGGGAAGAAAAUGACGGUACCUGAUUAAGAAGCCCCGGCUAACUACGUGCCAGCAGCCGCGGUAAUACGUAGGGGGCAAGCGUUAUCCGGAUUUACUGGGUGUAAAGGGAUCGUAGACGGCAGCACAAGACUGGAGUGAAAUGCCGGGGCUUAACCCCCGAACUGCUUUGGAAACUGUGAAGCUAGAGUGCAGGAGGGGUAAGUGGAAUUCCUAGUGUAGCGGUGAAAUGCGUAGAUAUUAGGAGGAACACCAGUGGCGAAGGCGGGUUACUGGAAUGUAACUGACGUUGAGGCUCGAAAGCGUAGGGAGCAAACAGGAUUAGAUACCCGGGUAGUC